rnacentral:pre_miRNA from 1 species
ACGUAGGGCAAUCAGUCUGUAAGCAGGGACAAACGACUCUAAGAGAAAAGAAUCCUAGCUGGUUUCCCUUCAAGUCAAGCGUCUUGU